GUGUGGGAGUGGCGAAAGGGGUCCAGAGGCUUGGCUACCUUCGCGGCCCCCCACCUUGGACUUAACUCAUUUUUGCCCCCAGCCCUUGUCGCCGUACUGUGGCGAAGGGUGUGGGUGUGGCGAAAGGGGUCCAGAAGCUGGGCUAGCUUCGCGGCCCCCAGCUUGGACUUAACUCCUUUUCUCCUCCAGUCCUUGUCGCCGUACCUUGCGGGUACUUUGGCGAAGGGCGUGGGAGUGGCGAAAGGAGUCCAGAGGCUAGUGCGGCUUCGAAUCCCCCAAGCUUGGAAGCAACUCAUUUUCGCCCCCAGCCGUUGUCGCCGUACCUUUCGGAGGCUGGGCUGGCUUUGCGGCCCCCAGCUUGGACUUAACUCAUUUUCGCCCCAGCCCUUGUCACCGAACCUUGUGGGUGUGGCGAAAGGGGUCCAGAGGCUGCGCUGGCUCCGCGGCCCCCCAACUUGCACUUUACUCUUUUUCGCCCCCAGCCCUUAUCGUCGUACCUUGCGGGUACUGUGGCGAAGGGUGUGGGUGUGGCGAAAGGGGUCCAGAGGCUGGGCUGGCUUCACGGCCCCCAGCUUGGACUUAAAUUCUUUUUGCCCCCAGCCCUUGUCGCCCAUGCGUGUACUGUGGCGAAGGGCGUGGGUGUGGCAAAAUGGGUCCAGAGGCUGGGCUAGCUUCGCGGCCCCCCAGCUUGGACUUAACUCCUUUUCACCCCCAGCCCUUGUCGCCGUACCUUGCGGGUACUGUGGCGAAGGGCGUGUGUGUGGCGAAAGGGGUACAGAGGCUGGGCUGGCUCCGCGGCCCCCGCAGCUUGGAAGCAACUCAUUUUCGCCCCCAGCCCUUUUCGCCGUACCUUACGGGUACUGUGGUGAAGGGUGUGGGUGUGCGAAAGAGGUCCGGAGGCUGAGCUGGCUUCACGGUCCCCAGCUUGGACUUAACUCCUUUUCGCCCCAAGCCCCUGUCGUCGUAUCUUGCGGGUACUGUGGCGAAGGGUACUUUGGCGAAGGGCGUGGGAGUGGGGUAAGUAGUCCAGAGGCUAGGGCGGCUUCGAAUCCUCCAAGCCUGGAAGCAACUCAUUUUCGCCCCCAGCCCGUGUCGCCGUACCUUUCGGGUACUGUGGCGAAGGGUGUGGGUGUGGCGAAAGGGGUCUAG
rnacentral:lncRNA from 1 species